CGCCGCCUGGUGACCUUAUCGCUACAAAAAAAUUUUUUUUUCGCUAGUUUACGAGGCUGGCGUCACUGGUAGCGCUAUCUGGUUUCGAAUUGCUAGUACAAAAAUCUUUACACAUGUUUGGAACUCAGCUUGGACGUCUGUCUGCGGAUUUACUGUCUUAUGUUGACUAACUUUUUCUCCGCACCAUAAUGUAUAUCUCAUUGAAUAAUGUAUACAUCGAUUUUCUGGCAGCUGUUUUCGAUGUAAAUAAUCUCAAUUAGUUAAAAAAAAAAACAAAUACCUUGAAAAAGCUGUGCGAUAAACCUCGAUCCCACCCGCGGCAGGAAAUGCAACCGCAAGGAUAAAGAAAUUCGAAAACAUUCCAACAAAGUAAUGGAAAAUCUCUGGCGAGUGCAAUUUUCAAUGUCGGAACCGCUGCAAUGGCAACCUCCAACAGCAGCAGCAGUACCUAACAAUUUAACUACGGGAACUGGGACAUUAGAGGCAAUCAGUGUUUUCGCAAUGGAAAUAUUUCCGCUGGUCGCUUUUGGAAGCGAUUCCAACCGUAACAACGGUGGCGGACUUCGAAGAAUCGCUCCUUGCGUUAUGGCACUUUCGGAAAUAAUAUAAAAAAGUUAGUGUUCUGCUACAAUAAAUCAGCCAGCUUCAGUGAUGACGAAGACUUAAAUAAAUGUUAUAACGAAUAGUUUAUUUCAUUAAA